rnacentral:lncRNA from 1 species
CUUACUAAGAGCAAUUCCACCAAUUUGUCAUGGUAAAAGGCAAGGGGAGGCAAGGGAAGUUACUGUUCAUGUGAAUACUGUCUUCCUAAGCAAUUUUUUUUACGCAUUCCCUCUUAUUGUCAUGGCAACUCAAGAGCAACUACUAUUCACAUGAGAUAUGAGGAGAGGAAUUUGUAUGGAGUUUUUGAUGUGGGAAGUGAAGAACAUGGCUAGGUAUUAAUAGCAAACAAUUUCUUAAAUUUUUGGUUUUUUUUUCCUUUUUUUUUUUAAUUUUUUUGAUAUUUAAAUUGGAUGCUGACAUCAGUGUGCAACCCAGACAAGUCUUGCCUUUGAGCUCGCCCAAAUUUAGAUAUGGCCCAUUGCUGCCUAGGUAGUUUGUGCUUGGUGUGGGUAUUUUUUCCAAACUAGACCCCCUUUUACCAUGACAAAAGUGACCAAUGGAAAUGCUCUAAUCAAUUUCAGUUCUUCGUAUUUCCUUUUUCUUUCUUUUUGGGUUCAAAGCGUCAGGAUGCUUUGUGAUCGAUACAAAGACUCAAGUUCAUAUAUUUGGGUUCAAAAGCCCAAGUUCCUACAUUUCUUUUUUCUCUCCAAUGCACUUUUAUUUAUUUAUUGAAUAUAUUAGAAUUUAACUUUGGUUGUUGAGUCUAAAUUUCCCUUGGAGAUGGUUGGGUCCAAACUUAAAUUUGGGUUUGGCAUACUCUCUCAUAUUUUCCUUCUAGGCCCACAAUUUGAGUUUUGAUUGAAAACAACUCGAUUUCAAUAUGAUACUGAUUUGGAUUUGGUUUUUCCUUUACAUUGAAUAUCGGCUACUAACCCAUAUAAUAAGUCAUAGUUUUUGAGAUAUUUAUUCAAAAAUUUAUUUUAAGAUGACAUAUUAUAUAAAAUUCUAUAUAGAGUCUAUUUAAAGAGAAAAUUACAAAACUAGCUACUUGUCAUUUUUUAAUUGGUUUUAAUGUGUUAAAAUUUUAUAAGAACCAAUUUGAAAAUGACAAGUAGCUAGUUUUGAGUUUUUCUCUCCAAAUAGGCUCUAUAAGGGUUUUUGUAUAAUAUGUUAAAAUGAACCUAAUUGUGAAAAGCCCUAAUUUAUUUAUUUUUGGAAUGCCCAAAGGGUUCUGGAAAUGCUUGCCUUCAUCUGAUACUCAAAUUUUAGUAUAAAAAAUAGAGUUGUCAUGGAAAUGACUUAUAACUUAAGUGUUUCACAUCCUUAUCCAAUAUCUUGAAAUCGAUUAUUCGUUUGCACAAACAUCCCCACCAAGUUGGUAACCCUCUCCAUUGGAAGUUAAAUACACACCUACUCUAAUGGUAGCUUUCACAGUCCCUAAUGGGUAGCUUUCACACAAUCCCUAAUGGAUAAAAUUCUUCAUUUUUAUACUAAAAUUGUGUACUGGCUUCACAAUAUAAGAAUUUGUUAAUCUGUUAGCUUUCACUAGUGGUAGUCUCUCUGUUAAACCCUAAUCGGUAGCCUUAUCCAUGUCCAUAAUUUGUUGUGUGCACCCACCCCCAUGACACCUACGCUCAUCCCUAACAUUUAGCCAUAUCUACACAUAUCCCACCCUACACCUAAUAUUCCUAUCUAACAUUGUAGUCACCAUGAAAAAUUUCCACUAUUUUUAAUUUCCUCCAAUAUCUUAUAUGUGUUUAUGUGUGUCUAUGUUUAUGUCUAUAUAAUCUACUAUCACAUAUAAUUAGAGAUGGACAAAAUCACAUAAAUUUUAUUUCAACG